GUCUAAGGCCAUGCCACCGUGAGCGUGCUGGAUCUUGUCUGAUCUCAGAAAAUAAGCAGUGUUGGGCCUGGUUAGUAUUUGGAUGGGAGACCACCUAGGAAUACUAGAUGCUGUAGAUG
rnacentral:rRNA from 1 species